rnacentral:rRNA from 1 species
UGCAGUCGACGAACUCUUCGGAGUUAGUGGCGCACGGGUGCGUAACGCGUGGGAAUCUGCCCUUGGGUACGGAAUAACUCAGAGAAAUUUGUGCUAAUACCGUAUAAUGUCUUCGGACCAAAGAUUUAUCGCCCAAGGAUGAGCCCGCGUAAGAUUAGCUAGUUGGUGGGGUAAAAGCCUACCAAGGCGACGAUCUUUAGCUGGUCUGAGAGGAUGAUCAGCCACACUGGGACUGAGACACGGCCCAGACUCCUACGGGAGGCAGCAGUGGGGAAUAUUGGACAAUGGGCGAAAGCCUGAUCCAGCAAUGCCGCGUGAGUGAUGAAGGCCUUAGGGUUGUAAAGCUCUUUUACCCGGGAUGAUAAUGACAGUACCGGGAGAAUAAGCUCCGGCUAACUCCGUGCCAGCA